AAUCGAUGUGUUCAUAAGCGAUAUUGUUAAUAGUUAAAUAUAAAUUAUCAUUUGCCUAUACAAAUAUUAAGUUAUUGUACUCAUAAGUGGAUGUUAGUUAAUAGCACAUUUACAGUAGACGAAAACUUGAAUAGUAUGAAAAAACUAAAAGCGUGUGCUAUGACAAUAUUUUGGAGAGUGAUGAUGAAUACUCAGCUUUUAGAAGAAUAGAUCAUAGGUUAACUGGAAUAUAUCUUUAAACAAGGGACUAAAUUCCACGGACGACUGGAUUCAUUGUGCCUAGUAGGCAGGUUUAUAUGUUUACUAUACUAUUAAUGUUUCUAUUUUCUUAAGCACAAUAGGGGGUUACUAAUUAGAGGGUUACGAAUGAGCAUUCGGUAAUGGGCUUUACCAAAUGUAAGAAGUAUGUUGAUAAAUGGACAAUUAAGUGUACUAAUGAAAUUGUAGAAUCUAGUAAAUAUCUACAAUUAUCAACUGAAGAAAAUUCAAAUUUGACGAUAAGUCUCAACAAAGUUUUGUAAAAUUGGUAUGAUGCUAACCCGUAGAGGAAAGGCAUCAGUGGUAAAAAGAAUGUUGGAACUGUAGUCUAUAAUAAAGAUUCAGGACAAUACUCUAAGUGUAGGUUGUCGAUCACCGAUAGCAAGAUAUAUUCUCACCGGAGAAACAAGUUUUUAUAUAGAACAACAUAACACCAUAAUAAUAACUGACAUUAUGGAAGUCAUUAACAAGCUGUACGAUCUGGUAAGGGAACCAGGACAGGAUGCCAAACUCAGCUUGACUAAGAGAAUGCUAGAUGACUGGAACUCGAGUGUGAUGCUAUCCUCGAGAAAAUAAGUAAAGAAAGAGCUGGAUAUUGACUUGAUGAAAGGAGAAACGACAAUCUCGAUAACGGAGGACUCUGGUUUUAGCCACUUCAAGCACAUAUGAUGCUCCAAACACGCAAAUGGCGCCCAGGUAUGAAUGGAUGAGGGUUGCCAAGGUUCUGCUACGGGAUACAAUAAACGUGUCCCAGAUAAUAUGCGUAGGACAAGCCACUGAUCGACUGACAAGUAGGCUAUCGACAGAACUUUAGGACAGAUAUGAGAAAUUAGGACGUCAAGGAGAACGAUAGGUGUAUAUGUCAGCAGAGGUAUCUACAAAGUGCAGCAACUACAUAAGACCUAAACUUUUUUGAAGACGUCAAAGUUAUAUUGAACCCAUGUAGUGGAUAUGAUGGGUUUGCUAAGUACUACUCACUGUCUAUGGCCUCAAAAAAGCCAAAAACAUAUUUUAUAUCCUAUUUAUUCGAAUAAAGCCAUAGAGUCCCAACAGGGGAAUUAGCUUAGAAGAGAAUAGUAACAUGAAUAUAGCAUUACUAAUAACUACGAUAGAUAAGACAUUAAAUAGAUUAGUUGAAAUUAAUAAUAAGUAUGACGGUUUUGAUCUGUUGUUAGUAGAUAGCGGAGAGUAUUCAAUGGAUAGAAUCAAGAAUGCCAACUUUUGACUUAAAAAAUAAGCUAGCAAUAGAAACUUUUUAUCAAGGGUUUUAGAUCAAAUUUCUAACGUGAACAAGGGCAGUAAAGAUUAAUUGUCUUACUUACUUAAAAGAUUAAUUGUUUUUGGCAUGAAUUGGGUUAAAUGCUCUCUAAGAACUUUAGGGAUGUUAAAGGAAUUAAAUUGGGAACCAUUGGUUUAUCAUCACUAGAAUGGUAGCUAUUAAUGCGAGACUAUAAUAACAAGUUGAAAAUAGAUGAAAUGAAAGCGUUCAACUUACCGCAAUCUGUUUGCACAUUUUGUCACCAUGUACUCAUAACAUAAAGAAAUGAUUGAUUUAGAUUGAAAAAAUUAAAUCACGUAUUAACAGUAGCUAUACAAACUAAAAUAAAUCUCCAGACUGCUCUGUGAACAUUAAAACCAAAUACGGAAAAUUGAACAUGAAAUGGGAUACAAUGUAGGAUGAACGCGUCAAAUUGUUUGAAAAUAGGAUCAAGAGUAGAAAAAGUAGAGCUACCACAGUUUGAGGGCAAAGUGUGAGACUUAAAUGACACCAAUUGUGCUUUCUGUCAUACUCAGAAUACGGAUAAGUGGAAUGAAGCGUCUGUUACGAAGAGAUUGGACGUUUAUUCAUAUCAAAUGGACGAAAGUGCAUUUAGCAGAGUCUACGAAGUUUUGCACUUGCUGACCAGCGAUUAUGGAUUAUGAUAUUUCUAUUAAAGAUGAUGAAGACAUUCUGUUCAAAUACAUUAAUUUGCAUGAGAAUUGGUACAAGGAUUUGAUUAAAUUGAUUAGGCUAUGGCAAGCAAACAAGAGCACGAACGGUUACUUUACAUAUAGGCCUAAGAACUAGCUCAAGAAAAGGAAAUGCGUAGAUAAAGGAAAAAUUAAAUUACCAGAAGGUAGCAAUCCAAAAUGGAUUCCUAUUCAAUUGUUCCUAUUCAAUGAAUAGGAACAUUGUUUAUCCAGUUCACGGAUGCGAAGACUAGAAUAGCUUAUUACAUUCUAUUCGGUGAUUGGAUUGAAAAAGCCGGCAAGACAAAGGUGUACAAGGGUACAAUCAAUAGAACAUCAUCGAUGUAUAUGCGUAGAAAGAGUGAUAUGCGCACAAUGUGGGAUAUGAAUUAUAAACUUGAGAAACAUAAAAUAGAUUUGGCAUACUUAGAUACACACACACACGUACACAUAGUAUUGGGUUGUCCGGAAAAUUUGUGUCGAUUUAUGGUAGGUAACGUAAUGACAAAAUCGGCACAUACUUUCCGGACAGCCUAAUAUAUAGAUUCUAAAUAUUUCAAAAAUCGCAAAGUGAAAAUAUUAAUUUAUACCUAAGUAUCGAACAAAUUCAAAAUCCUUUACUAAGUUCAAAAGAUAUAGAAUGCAUCUAAUAUUCUUUUUAAGCGCGAAGUUUUUUGAACUGUUUUAAUAUUGAUACAUCACGCAAUGCAAAGUGUCAACAAAAAAUAUCUAAAAUGUAUAAACAUAAAAAAAAUAAAAAACAAUAAAGAAAAAAGAGAUAUGCUGAAAGAUUCUAAUAUUUGUUGAAACUUUCUAAGUGAGAAUCUGCAUUUUACCUGGAUCCCUAUCUAGUUACUUAAAAUUAAAUAAGACAUUAACUCAGAAAAGAUAUCCUAUCUGUCUUCCUGUCAUAUAUAUUUAAAAAGUACAAAGCAUUCACACUAACACAUACACUCCACGGUUCCCUCAUAUGCCAUCAUUGUGUAAAAGCCUACACUAGAGAGUAUGUCUCCGACACUUCAACUCCAACGCAUAUUUUUCUAAUAUAUUAGAUAUACGUACCAUUUGCUGUAAUCGAUUGUUAAGACUAAUGAUAAUUGUAUAUAUGACUAAAGCAAAAAUACUAGUACAUACUAGUACAUAUACACAUACUAAUAAUAUAUACGAAUAUUUCAAAUUUUCUACACAAAAAUGUAAUAACUCUAUUACACAAAACAAUAUUAAUAUAAU